AUCCACAAUACGAGAGGACCUGGAUGGACGCACCUCUGGUGUACCAGUUGUCGUGCCAACGGCAUAAGCUGGGUAGCCAAGUGCGGAGUGGAUAAGCGCUGAAAGCAUCUAAGCGCCAAGCCCACCCCAAGAUGAGGUUUCCCACGGAGUCAGUCCGGUAAGACCCCUUGAAGACUACAAGGUAGAUAGGCCGGGGGUGUAAGCGUGGCAACACGUUUAGCUGACCGGUACUAAUAGGUCGAGGCCUCGACCCU
rnacentral:rRNA from 1 species